CAUGCAAGUCGAACGAGAGAGAGGGAGCUUGCUUCCUCAAUCGAGUGGCGAACGGGUGAGUAACGCGUGAGGAACCUGCCUCAAAGAGGGGGACAACAGUUGGAAACGACUGCUAAUACCGCAUAAGCCCACGACCCGGCAUCGGGAAGAGGGAAAAGGAGCAAUCCGCUUUGAGAUGGCCUCGCGUCCGAUUAGCUAGUUGGUGAGGUAACGGCCCACCAAGGCGACGAUCGGUAGCCGGACUGAGAGGUUGAACGGCCACAUUGGGACUGAGACACGGCCCAGACUCCUACGGGAGGCAGCAGUGGGGAAUAUUGCACAAUGGGGGAAACCCUGAUGCAGCGACGCCGCGUGGAGGAAGAAGGUCUUCGGAUUGUAAACUCCUGUUGUUGAGGAAGAUAAUGACGGUACUCAACAAGGAAGUGACGGCUAACUACGUGCCAGCAGCCGCGGUAAAACGUAGGUCACAAGCGUUGUCCGGAAUUACUGGGUGUAAAGGGAGCGCAGGCGGGCGAUCAAGUUGGAAGUGAAAUCCAUGGGCUCAACCCAUGAACUGCUUUCAAAACUGGUCGUCUUGAGUAGUGCAGAGGUAGGCGGAAUUCCCGGUGUAGCGGU
rnacentral:rRNA from 1 species